rnacentral:misc_RNA from 1 species
GAUGAAGAACGCAGCGAAAUGCGAUAAGUAAUGUGAAUUGCAGAAUUCAGUGAAUCAUCGAAUCUUUGAACGCACAUUGCGCCCUCUGGUAUUCCGGAGGGCAUGCCUGUUCGAGCGUCAUUUCAACCCUCAAGCAUUGCUUGGUGUUGGGGCACCGCCUGUAAAAGGGCGGGCCCUGAAAUCUAGUGGCGAGCUCGCCAGGACCCCGAGCGUAGUAAUUAUAUUUCGUUCUGGAAGGCCCUGGCGGUGCCCUGCCGUUAAACCCCCAACUUCUGAAAAUUUGACCUCGGAUCAGGUAGGAAUACCCGCUGAACUUAAGCAUAUCAAUAAGCGGAGGA